rnacentral:lncRNA from 1 species
CGUGGAUCCAGGGGUGCAGGGCUGGGGGGGGGGCUUCUUUAGGGUGACAGAGUGUUCUAGAAUUAGUGGUAAGAGGGGCACAGCCAGGGAACUCCUGGGUGGCGGUAUUACAGGUGACUUAUCUCAACAGAGCCAUUUUUAAAGGCCCCGCCCUCCCACGGUCUGACACACACCAGCGGGCCUGGCCAUCUAACCUCCCAACGGUGACUCGGCCACAGUCCCCAACACCUGGCCAGCCUCGCCCGCGGCGGGUGCUGGGCACAGGAGGUGAGGGGUGGGCCCUGCCCAGGGACGCCCUGCAGAGGGACAGGGCAGCCCGCCGCCACCUGCCGCGAGCCGCGGAUGGGGCGGGGAGCCUCCGGGUCGCGGCGGAAGCGCGGGCCUGGGAACGGGCAGACAGAACCCGGGACUGGCCACACCAGAAGGCUGCCACGUUCUCCCCUUCUGCACCCGCCCAUGCCUGAAGCCCAGGGGCCACUUGUGACCCUGCGCAGCUGCGGGAGAGGGCUGACCUCGUUCAUCCGGAGUCCCUCUCCAGGCUCCACUGCUCCCAGACAGGGGUACUCUGCCACUGAGCUGCACCUCAGACCAACCUUCCUGAACUGGACAGACCUGGCAUCUCACAUGCAUUCAUUUCCAAGAUGGUUUCUGCAGCUGAACAGCCUCCCUCCUUCCACCAGCUCACACAAGAAGCAGACUCUCGUGGCUGUGGGACAGCGUCCACUCCACGCCCUUGUUUAUCAGGUGGUUAAAUAUUUUGAAUAUCAAUCUUGGAUAUUUAUUCACCCAAACUCCUAUUACAUGACAUUUGGAUCAUCGCCUCUAUUUUGCUUUAAUAAAUAAUG